AUCUGCCUGAUAGUGGGGGAUAGCCCGAAGAAAUUCGGAUUAAUACCGCAUAAUCUAUUCGUAGUAAAGUGAGGGACUUUCGAGCCUCACGCUAUCAGAUGAGCCUGCGUAAGAUUAGCUUGUUGGUAGGGUAAAAGCCUACCAAGGCAACGAUCUUUAGCUGGUCUGAGAGGAUGAUCAGCCACAUCGGGACUGAGACACGGCCCGAACUCCUACGGGAGGCAGCAGUGGGGAAUAUUGGACAAUGGGGGCAACCCUGAUCCAGCAAUACCGCGUGUGUGAAGAAGGCCUGAGGGUUGUAAAGCACUUUCAAUUGUGAAGAAAAGUUAACGGUUAAUAACCGUUAACCUUGACGUUAACUUUAGAAGAAGCACCGGCUAACUCCGUGCCAGCAGCCGCGGUAAUACGGAGGGUGCAAGCGUUAAUCGGAAUUACUGGGCGUAAAGCGUGCGUAGGCGGUUUAUUAAGUCAGAUGUGAAAGCCCCGGGCUUAACCUGGGAACUGCAUUUGAAACUGGUCAACUAGAGUAUGGUAGAGGAAAGUGGAAUUUCUGGUGUAGCGGUGAAAUGCGUAGAUAUCAGAAGGAACAUCAAUGGCGAAGGCAGCUUUCUGGACCAAUACUGACGCUGAGGUACGAAAGCGUGGGUAGCAAACAGGAUUAGAUACCCUGGUAGUCCACGCCGUAAACGAUGAUAACUAGCCGUUGGGGGGGAUUUACCCCUUAGUGGCGAAGCUAACGCGUUAAGUUAU
rnacentral:rRNA from 1 species